UACCAGCACCCCGAGUGGUCGGGACGAUUAUUGGGCCUAAAGCAUCCGUAGCCGGUCAUGCAAGUCCUCCGUUAAAUCCACCUGCUCAACAGAUGGGCUGCGGAGGAUACUAUAGAGCUAGGAGGCGGGAGAGGCAAGCGGUACUUAGUGGGUAGGGGUAAAAUCCGUUGAUCCAUUGAAGACCACCAGUGGCGAAGGCGGCUUGCCAGAACGCGCUCGACGGUGAGGGAUGAAAGCUGGGGGAGCAAACCGG
rnacentral:rRNA from 1 species